AAGCGGGUCGCCGAAUUUAGGGUUAUCGCCUGUUAAGCGAGAGAUGGAGGUUCGAUUCCUCCUCCGCUUG
rnacentral:tRNA from 1 species